rnacentral:snRNA from 1 species
GUGCUCAUUUUGGCAGCACACACACUGAAAUUGGAAUGACACAGAGAAGAUUAGCAUGGCCCCUGUGCAAGGAUGACACACAAAUCUGUGAAGUGUUCCAGAUUUUU